rnacentral:rRNA from 1 species
CAGAAGGUCUACGGGAUGGAAGGAUAAGAACUUAGUGGCGGACGGGUGAGUAACGCGUGGGUAACCUGCCCUUUUGUGGGGAACAACUUCGAGAAAUCGGAGCUAAUACCGCAUAAUAAUAGAGGAUCGCAUGAUUCUUUAAGGAAAGAUGGCCUCUGAAGAUGCUAUCGCAAAAGGAUGGACCCGCGUCUGAUUAGCUAGUUGGAAGGGUAACGGCCUACCAAGGCAACGAUCAGUAGCCGGCCUGAGAGGGUGAACGGCCACAUUGGGACUGAGACACGGCCCAAACUCCUACGGGAGGCAGCAGUGGGGAAUCUUCCGCAAUGGGCGAAAGCCUGACGGAGCAAUGCCGCGUGAGUGAAGAAGGCCUUCGGGUUGUAAAACUCUGUCCUUAUCGAAGAGAGGUAGGUAUGUGGAUAAUGUACCUAUAGGACGGUAGAUAAGGAGGAAGCCCCGGCUAACUACGUGCCAGCAGCCGCGGUAAUACGUAGGGGGCGAGCGUUGUCCGGAAUCACUGGGCGUAAAGGGCGCGUAGGCGGUUUAAUAAGUCAGUGGUGAAAACUGAGGGCUCAACCCUCAGCCUGCCACUGAUACUGUUAGACUUGAGUAUGGAAGAGGAGAAUGGAAUUCCUAGUGUAGCGGUGAAAUGCGUAGAUAUUAGGAGGAACACCAGUGGCGAAGGCGAUUCUCUGGGCCAAGACUGACGCUGAGGCGCGAAAGCGUGGGGAGCAAACAGGAUUAGAUACCCUGGUAGUCCACGCCGUAAACGAUGGAUACUAGGUGUUAGUAGUUUCGAUGCUACUAGUGCCGGAGUAAACAUAAUAAGUAUCCCGCCUGGGGAGUACGGUCGCAAGACUGAAACUCAAAGGAAUUGACNGGGGCCCGCACAAGCGGUGGAGCAUGUGGUUUAAU